rnacentral:rRNA from 1 species
AUUGAACGCUGGCGGCAGGCUUAACACAUGCAAGUCGAGCGGGGAAAGGUAGCUUGCUACUGGACCUAGCGGCGGACGGGUGAGUAAUGCUUAGGAAUCUGCCUAUUAGUGGGGGACAACAUCUCGAAAGGGAUGCUAAUACCGCAUACGUCCUACGGGAGAAAGCAGGGGAUCUUCGGACCUUGCGCUAAUAGAUGAGCCUAAGUCGGAUUAGCUAGUUGGUGGGGUAAAGGCCUACCAAGGCGACGAUCUGUAGCGGGUCUGAGAGGAUGAUCCGCCACACUGGGACUGAGACACGGCCCAGACUCCGACGAGAGGCAGCAGUGGGGAAUAUUGGACAAUGGGCGCAAGCCUGAUCCAGCCAUGCCGCGUGUGUGAAGAAGGCCUUAUGGUUGUAAAGCACUUUAAGCGAGGAGGAGGCUACUCUAGUUAAUACCUAGGGAUAGUGGACGUUACUCGCAGAAUAAGCACCGGCUAACUCUGUGCCAGCCGCCGCAGUAAAAC